AUGUUUAACACAAUCAUUGAAAGCCUAGGUCUGUGUGAGAUAGAGCUUUUGGGCAGGAAGUUUACCUGGGCUAACGCCUUGCCAAAUCCGACGUUCGAAAAGCUGGAUCGGGUUCUGGCUAGCGUCGAAUGGGAACAGAAAUUCCCAUGUGUAACAGUCCAGGCACUUUCUCGUGGUAUUUCUGAUCACACGUCGUUAUUCCUUGACUCUGGGGAGGCCACCCAUGUGGGAAAUAAGAAUGUUUUCUCUUUCGAGCUUGCGUGGUUUGAGAGAGAAGGUUUCUUAGAUCACGUAGCCAGAGAAUGGGCUAAGGAUGCAGGAGGUAGAACUGCACUUGAGCGCUGGCAGAAUAAAAUUAGGCACUUGAGAAGUUUCAUACGUGGGUGGGCUAAGCAUCUUAGUGGGGUCUAUAAGAUUGAGAAGGAAUAG
rnacentral:rRNA from 1 species